CUCGAUGUUACUGCUUUAACUAAGACUUUUCAGCCAUUUAGGCAAUUUCUCUGCUCAUUUCAUGGCCUGAGGUCAAUGUUCUUUUCCUCAAAGGAUUUCCAAAAUGUAGGGAACUGCAUUAAAUAAUUUGCUUGUUUUUUUUUCUAAUGCUUUCUGAGAUUCAUCAGUUAGUAAUGAUAUUUCUCUUCUAUUCUGUUUACUAAUUUCUUAUUUUAACUUUUUCUCAGUUCCAGGUUGACUUCUGCCUUGCUGCUAGAACCAGUUACUUGUGAAACUAGAACACAAGGUAUGAUGGCACGCCUCAAGUGGACUCAGCUUCCACAUCUGAGCUAUGACAAACCAGCUUUCAAGCCUCCAGACAUCAUGAAGUUCCCAACUCUUCUUCCAACCAAAUCACAUGGUUUGAGGUGUCAAAAUCAAGAUGUGGAAAUGAGGCGGCAAUCAUGUAACAAGUUGCUGGAAACAACAGUGAUUACACACCAGUGAUCCUGAAGUUGCGUGCAGGACAGCGGCAGCUCGGCA
rnacentral:lncRNA from 1 species